rnacentral:tRNA from 1 species
GGUGCAGUUUAGUGGUAGAGCACAUGCUUGGUGUGCAUGAGGCCCUAGUUCAAUCCUGAGUACUGCAGCA